GAAACUGCAACCCACAGAUAGUUUAGGAACGCAACGGAAAAUAGGCUCCAAUAAAACAUGAAUCGAAUUAGAAGGCUUCUGAAGUUAGGAGGCAGGAAUUGUCCAAACGGAACAUAUGCUCGGAUUAGCGCAGCUUUAGAAACGAAGUCUUCAACUUCAACAAGGCAUGAUUUUUCAUAAGAUUCAGAGACUCUUAUUAGAAAAUGCCCAAACAUUAGAAAAUAGAAAAUGCAGCAAAAUAUUUUCUAUGAAACAAAUAAAGUUUAAAAGUUAUAUGAAAUCAAUUAAAACAAGUUGCGGUUUCACUUUGACACAUUAUGUCAAUCUUGUGGGCACAUGUGGGAUCUAUAGUAAUUCUGAGAAAAACUAUAGAGUUGAAUAAAUAUAAAAAAUAGUUAAAAUAGGUUAUUCCAAUUAGAAUUCU
rnacentral:misc_RNA from 1 species